AACCUCAUGGUACAAUGGUAGCACAUCUGACUCCAGAUCAAAAGGUUGUGUGUUCAAAUCACACUGGGGUCA